rnacentral:lncRNA from 1 species
CGAAAGCCAUGUAUCAGUGUUUGCAGAUGACACAAAACUUUGUAUUAUUAAAAUGUGAGCAGGAUAUUGCUUUGCUGCAGAGGGAUUUGGAUAGAUUGGGGGACUGGGCACUAAAAUGGCAGGUUAAAUUUAACGUAGAGAAAUGCAAAGUUAUGCACUUCGGGGUUAAGAAUGCACAAGCAACUUCCACACUAAAUGGUAGUGAAUUAGGGAUAACCACACACAAGAAGGAUUUGGGAAUUGUUAUAGACAACAAAUUAGGCAGCAAUAUGCAAUGCCAAUCUGCAGUUACUGAGGCCAGUAAGGUUUUG